UUCCAUCGGGUCCGACGGCCGGCGCUCUUCCUAAAGCUCGAUAUCGCCAAGGCAUUCGAUUCGAUGUCUUGGCCAUAUCUGCUGAGCAUGCUGCGUGCGAGGGGUUUUGGAAGGCGGUGGUGUGAAUGGAUGACCAUGAUGCUGUGCACCGCUUCCUCCCGUGUGCUUGUCAAUGGCCAAGUGGGCGAACUCAUUCAACACCGUUGCAGCCUUCGACAGGGCGAUCUGCUCUCGCCUUUCCUU
rnacentral:rRNA from 1 species